rnacentral:lncRNA from 10 species
CUACUCAGCCAUAAAAAAGAAUGAAAUAAUGUCAUCUGCAGCAACUUGAAUGGAACUGGAGGUCAUUAUUUUAGGUGAAGUAACUCAGGAAUCAAAAACCAGAUACCUCAUGCUCUCACUUAUACAAUUCAUCUAUGUAACCAAAAACCACUCUUGUCCCUAAAACUAUUGAACUUUAAAAAAAAUAAAAUUUUAAGAAAAAAAUUAAAAACAACAACAAAAAUUACCCAACAAACUGUGUUAGUCCAUUCUCUCAGAGUUAUAAAAAAAUCUGACUGGGUAAUUUAUAAAGAAAAUAGGUUUAAUUGGCUUUUAGCUGUGGAGGCUGUACAGGAAUCAUGGCACCAGCAUCUUCUUGGGGAAACCUCAGGGAGUUUUUACUCAUGGUGGAAGGCGAAGCAAGAGCAAGCAUACCACAUGGUGAAAGCAGGAGCAAGAGAGUGAGGAGGAGGAGCUACAUACUUUUUAAAUGACCAGAUCUCAUGAGAACUCACUCACUAUCAUGAGGACAGUACCAAGAGGUAUGGUACUAAACUGAUCAUGAGAAGUUUGCCCCCAUGAUCCAAUCACCUCCUACCAGCCCCCACCUACAACAUUGAGAAUUACAAUCAAACAUGAGAUGUGGGUGGGGACACAGAUCCAAAUUAUAUCACAAACAAAACAAUAAGUAAAUAAAUAUACACACAGUAGUCAUCUGCCUGGAAGUGAUGAUCAUCAGAAAGAAAGAAAGGAUGAGAUUACUGAAGCGAGAAAUGAAUAAAGAAGAAAACCAAAAUAGAAACAGAACUCUUACAGGUUAGAUCUGAAAACUAGGAUGAUAGAUGCCAAAGAAGGAGAAGUACAAAAUAAUACACCGUUACUAAAGCUAGGAGAUAAACUUUUAGUGGUGGGAUUGAACAAAACUAUCAAAUAUGAUAGAGAAUUUAUGAAGCAUAAGGAAUAACAAAGAUACCCAGAAGGCCAAAUUCCAUUAAUAAAAUAAUCUUUGUAGAUAUUCAGAAACAUAAUUUUUUAAAUGUUAUAUAAUACCCUUUCUUGAGACUUCUACUGUCUCCUGAGACUUUCACUAACUGCUCCAGACCACAUCAAGAUAUUUAAAUUCAGUUAGAGUUUGUACUACUUAUUCUAAUGUAAGCAUACACAGUACUCCCUCUUCAGAAUAUAACUUGGACUUUUUCAUGAAUUGUUCCUCUACUUUUCCACCAUUCGCACAUUGAUAUGAUUUGGCGGUGUCCCCACCCAAAUCUCAUCUUGAAUUUUAGUUCCCAUAAUCCCAACAUGUCAUGGGAGUGACCCAGUGGGAGGUAACUGAAUCAUGGGGGCAGUGACCCCCAUGCUGUUCUCAUGAUAGUGAGUGAGUUCUCAUGAAAUCUGACGGUUUUAUAUGGAGCUUUUUCCCCUUUGCUUGGUACUUCUCCUUCCUGCUGCUAUUUGAAGAAGGAUGUGUUUGCUUCCCUUUCCUCCAUGAUUGUAAGUUUACUGAGGCCUCCCCACCCCUGUGGAGCUGUUAGUCAAUUAAACCUCUUUCCUUUGUAAAUUACCCAGUCUCAGGCAGUUCUUUAUAGAAGCAUGAGAAUGGACUAAUACAGUAAACAGGUACUAGGAGACAGUGGGUGUUGCUGUAAGGAUACACAAAAUGUGGAAGCGACUUUGGAACUGGAUAACAGACAAAGGUUGGAACAAUUUGGAGGGCUUCUGUCUUUCAGAAGAAGACAGGAAAAUGUGGGAAAGCUUGGACCUUCCUAGAGACUUGGAGGGCUCAGAAGACAAGAAGAUGUGGGAAUGUUUGGAACUUCCUAGAGACUUGUUGAAUAGCUCUGAUCAAAAUGCUGAUAGUGAUAUGGACAAUGAAGUCCAGGCUGAGGUGGUCUCAGAUGGAAAUGAAUAACUUAUUGGAAACUGGAGUAAAGGUCACUCUUGCUAUGCAAAGAGACUGGUAGCAUUUUGCCCUUGCCCUAGAGAUCUGUGUUACUUUGAACCUGAGAGAGAUUAUUUAGGGUAUCUGGCAGAAUAAAUUUCUAUGUGGCAAAGCAUUUAAGAGGAAGCAGAGCAUAAAAGUUUGGAACGUAUACAUAUGAUAAACAUAAUUACAGCUAAAUUAAUUUUGACUGACUAAAACAAAAAUGUAUUAUACCAUUCAUGGGCUUAUGGGUGAUACAGUGAUUUAUUUAUCUAUGAAAAAUUAGAUAAUGAGUAGAGGAAAGGUGCAUAUGUACUAUUUCUUUUGUAAUCUAUGCACAUGAAGUGUCUGCAUAAUUUCACAACAGCAUCUCUUUCUGUUGAGGUCCAGGAGCCACCUCUUUGUUUUCUUUAUUGUAAUAUAUUCCACUUAUGUUUAAUUUCAAAUAUGCCAUGCCUGGAUAUUUCAUAUGCUUCAACACAAGGAAAUGGUACAACACUGUUAUUACUUUGCAAUGCUAUUGCUCUUUGGAAGGUAUACUUAAUGUAGAUUUUCUUGCAUCUACAUUUCUCUAGUACUAUUUAAUUAUGGUUACAUUUUUAAUCAUGACACUGUCAACCAUGGUACUCCCAUUGAAUACUGGCUUGCAAUGACUUUCCCUAGGUUGUUAGUGAGCUUGCUUAAUGAUGGCCAAAUAUGCAAAUCUCAUCCAAGGGAGAAAAUGCAGUGUUUGAUUUUCUGUUUUGCAUUAAUUCACUUAGGAUAAUGCCCUCCAGCUGCAUCUAUGUUGCUGCAAAUGACAUUAUUUCAUUCUUUUUCAUGGCUGUGUAGUAUUCCAUGGUGUAUAUGUACCAUAUUUUCUUUACCCAGUCCACCAGUGAUGGGUACCUAGGUUGAUUCCAUGUCUUUGGAAUUGUGAAACAGUGCUGUGAUAAACAUGUGAGAGCAUUUGUCUUUUUGGUAGAAUUAUUUAUUUUCCUUUUGGUAUGUACCCAGUAAUUGGAUUUCUGGGUUGAAUGGUAAUUCUAUUUUUGGUUCUUUGAGAAAUCUCCUACUUUCCACAGGGACUAAACUAAUUAGCAUUCCCACCAACAGUGUAUAAAUGUUCCCUUUUCUUUGCACCCUCACUAAUGUCUGUUGUUUUUUGACUUUUUAGUGAUGCCAUUCCCACUGGUGUGAGAUAGCAUCUCAUUGUGGUUUUGAUUUGCCUCUCUCUGAUAAUUUAUGACGUUAAGUGUUUUUUCAUGCUUUUUGGCCACUUGUAUGUCUUCUUUUGAGCAGUGUCUGUUCAUGUCCUUUGCCUACUUUUAAUGGGUUUUUGUUGUUGAUUGGUUUAAGUUCCCUAUAGCUUCUGGAUAUUAGUCCUUUGUCAGAGGCAGAAUUUGCAAGUAUUUUCUCCCAUUCUGUAGGUUGUCAGUUUAUGCUGUUGAUAGUCUCUGUUGCUCUGCAGAAGUUCUUUAGUUAGAUCCCAAUUGUCAACUUUUGUUUUUGUUGCGUUUGCUUUCGAGGACUUGAUGAAAUGUUACUGAAUUACAUCCUCAAGCAUGUUUUCCAAGUUACUUUCUCUUCUUCUCUUCAGGAAUGCCAAUAUGUUGUAGAUUUUGUCACUUUACAUAAUCCUCUACUUCCUAAAGGCUUUGUUCAUUUUCUAAAAUUAUUUUUUUCUUUAUUUUUGUUUCACUGGGUUGAUUUGAAGGACCAGUAUUUGAUCUUUGAAAUUCUUCUGCUUUAUCUAGUCUGUUGGUAAGGCUUCCAAUUUUUAUUUUGAAAUUCCUAUAGUAAAUUUUCCAAUUCCAGAAAUUCUGUUUUGUUUGUUUGUUUUAGUAUAGCUAUAUCAUAUUUCAAAUCCUGGAUUAUUUUUUUCUAUUUUCUUUUUGUUAGAUAUCAACUUUCUGUUAGAUCUUGUUGAGUUUUCUUGUCAGCCAUAUUCUGAAUUCUACAUCUGUCAUUUCAGGCAUUUCAUUCUGGUUAGGAUUCUUAGGCGCCUUUGGGUGUGACGAAACACUGGCUUUUUGUAUUGCUGGAAUUCUUGUGCUGGUUCUUAUCUGAAGGAUCUGCUGCUUCUUUUUUUAUUUUUUUGAAUAUCAUUGGAUGAGGCUUUUCUUUUAUUAUUCUUUUCCUUGAAAGUAUGAGUGUGAUUUAUGUUGCGUAUGAUCAGUUGUCUUCAUUUCUGGAUGUUUUCAGAGGGCGAAGUCUCUGUAUGGGUUCCUCAGUUGCAGAUAGGUCCAUUUGGUGGCUUUUUCAGAUGUUGCUUAUUGCAGUGUUACACUUUUGUUUGGUGGUGUAAUUCAUUAAUUAGUCCAGUAGAUAGCGCUUAAGAGUAAGAGCCAGUGGGUAGGCUCUUAUUCUGUGAGUGCUCAUCCUCAGUGAGGGCCAGAGCAACAGAGAAGUGCAAAAAGCUCCCUCCUCCAGCACAUCCUCACCUUUGGUGGGGUUGCGGCCACUGAAGAAGUGGGAGAAGCUUCCACUUGCAGCCCAUGCUGGUGGGUGCUCAAUGGGCAGAGAUGCAGCCUCUUCUGCAGGAGUACCCUGGGGAGCAAGGAAGGCUAGAUAUGACCCCCUCUCUGUUACUUGUGUCUGUGUGAAGAGAAUAUCAAACAGGCUUUGCAUUAGCAAUAAAGCUUUUUAAUAGCCUGGGUGCAGGUGGACUGAGUCCAAAAAAGGAGUCAGCAAAGGGAGAUAGGGGUGGGGCAGUUUUAUUGGAUUUGGGUAGGUAGUGGAAAAUUAUCAUUAAAGGGGGUUUUCUCUUGCUGGCAGGGGUGGGGACAACAAGGUGCUUAGUGGGGAGCUCCUGAGAUUCACUGUCCAGGAGAGGGAAUGUCACAAGGUCAAUUGAUCAGUUAGGUUGUGGCAGGAACAAAUCACAAUGGUGGAAUGUCAUUAGUUAAGGCAAGAACUGAUUAUUUCCCUUCUUUUUUGGUUCUUCAGUUGCUUCAGGCCAUCUGGAUAUAUAGGUGCAGGAUACGGGGUUAUGACAGCUUAGCUUGGGCUCAGAAGUCUGACAUUCCUGUCUUCUUAUAUUAAUAGGAAAAACAAAACAAAAUAGUGGUGAAGUGUUGGGGUGGCAAAAAUUUUUUGGGAUGGUAUGGAGAGAUAAUGCGUGAUGUUUCUCAGGGUUGCUUUGAGUGGGAUUAAGUUUGGUGUGGGAACCUACAGUGGGAGAGAUUAAACUGAAGAAAGAUUUUGGGGUAAGGGGAGAGAUUGUGGGGUUGUUAGAAGGAGGAUUUGUCAUACAGAAUGAUUGGUGAUGGUCUGGAUGCAGUUUUGUAUGAAUAGAGAAACUAAAUGGAAGACACAAGGUCUGAAUAAGAGGAGAAAAACACGUAUUAAAGGACUAAGAAUUGGGAGGACCUAGGAUAUUUAAUUAGAGAGUGCCCAAGGUGGUUCAGUGCAAUUAUUUGCUUGGUUGGUGAGUUUUUGGGCUCUAUCCUUGAGUUUUUUUAUGCUGUCAUAUACCAGGCCAGAUUGAUUUAGGUAAAAACAACACUCCUCAUUUAAAAAUAUACGUAGUUCUCCUUUUCCAGGAGUGAGUAAGUUGAGGCCUCAGUGGUUUUAGAGGAAAGAGAAAUUCAAAGCCAGCAAUUGUUUGUUAAAGAAGGAUUAGAAAUGGCUAGAGAGAGUGAGUGAGACUGAUAGUGUGGUGGAGAUAGCAGGGGAGAGGUAGAGGGUGGCAUAAGAACGGGAAUGAGAAUAAGAGUGAGUAUAAAAGUAAAGAAUAGGACUUCAUCAGGGUGAAAGUAUUGGAGGGUGCCCUGUCAGCAAAGAUCAUCUAUCCACUCCAAGAGGCAGUCAAGAGUGGUAGAUUGGGGAUAGUACCAGGAGAUAUCCGCUAUGAUGGUUUGAAGGAAAAGUGUAAACUGGCAGUGUAAAAGUAUAAACUGGGGCAGGGGAUUUAUGAGUAGUUGAGAAUUAUGAAUAGGGUAUGAUUAGACAGAAGAUAGUAGGGAUGACAAGUUUUUGGGGCACAGUCCAAGCAGCAGGGGUGACUGUGUAAAGCCCUGUUGCAAAGUGUAGGGUAAGGAUGAAUAGACCUAAUAGAAUGAAGGGAUGUAUUAGGCUCAUAAGGGUUAUUACUGUUCUUCAGAAAUACGAGUGAGUUUAAGGAAAGUAGGGGAGAGUACUUGCGACUUCCAGGAGGAAGAGGAGAGAUCAGGCUGGCUGUUGGAUGGACACAGCUUUAUCCUGGAAUGGUGAACCUAAUGGGGAGGGUCCUGCAGAUGGACGGCAGUUGGGGUGCUAUAGAUGACUAGGUAGGGUCUGGUCCACCAAGGCUGUAGAGUUUGAGGGGUCAGACUCUUAACAAGAACUGAUCGUCCAGCUAAGGUGUCUUUAUAUGGCUGGGAAUCUGGAGUAGGCAAGAGAAGAUUAGCAGCCUGGCGAAUUUCCUGUCUAGCCUGCUGGAGGACUGGAAGAUAAUUGCCCAGAGGGCUGGUGUCUGGAACAAGGUUGGGGCCGUGCAAGAAAGUGCAUCCAUAUAAAAGUUUAAAUGGACUGUACCCUAUAGCAUAUCGAAGGCAAGCUCUAAUUCUAAGAAGGGCAAGUGGUAGAAGUAAUGUCCAGUCCUUUUUAAGUUGGAGGUUGAGCUUGGUGAGGUUUGUUUUUAAAAGACCAUUCAUCCAUUCUACCUUUCCUGGAGAUUGAGGAUGGUAGGGGAUAUGAAGUUUCCACUGAAUAUCAAGAGCCUGAGAAACUGCCUGGGUGAUUUGACUAAUAAAGGCCAGACCAUUGUCAGAUUGAAUGGAAGUAGGGAGGCCACGUAAGGGAAUUAUAUCUGUCAGAAGGGAAUAAAUUACUGCUGUAGCCUUUUCAGAGCUAGUGGGAAAGGCCUCGAUCCAUCCAGCAAAGGUGUUGAUCCAAACCAGGAGAUAUUUAAAUUUACAGACAUGGGGCAUAUGAAUAAAGUUAAUUUGCCAAUUUUGUGUUGGAGUAAAUCCACAAGCCUGAAUGCAUAGGAAAAGGAGGAGGCCUGAGAAAGCUUUGGGGGCUGGUGGCAUGGCAGACAGAAUAUUGAGAGGUGAUGGUCUUGAAGAUGGAUAUCCAUGAAGGGAAGGAGAUGAGGGGCUGCAGGAGGCAAGCCAGAGGCUUGUAUCCCACAUGGAAGUGGUCAUGAAGGGAAGAAAGAAUGGACUGAGCUUGUGAGGCAGGAAGAAUGAAUUUUCCAUGAUCUAAGAACCACUUGCCCUGAGUUGGAAAAGACUGGUAGAGCAGGUUUUCAGAAGAAGAGUAGGUGGGAGUGAUAGAGGAGACAGAAAAAUACUGGCCCUCUGGAGUAGGGGCUGGAAUAUUAGUGGGUGUGGAGGCACCGGCUAUUUCUUUUGCUGUCCUGUCAGCAUAGGCAUUUCCUUUUGCAAUAAGAUCAGUAGGUUUCUGGUGUCGUUUACAAUGAAUGACUCCAGCAUUGGCUGGCAGGAGAGCAGCCUUAAGGAGGAUCUUUAUUAGGGAGGCAUUGAUAAUGGAAGAGCCUUAUGUGAUAAGGAAGCCUUUUUCGGCCCAGAUGGCAGCAUGGUUAUGGAGGAUGUGGAAAGCAUAUUUGGAGUCAGUACAAAUAUUAAUGUGCAUUCCUUUAGCAAAAGAGAGCACAUAAGUUAGAGCAAUCAGUUCGGCUUGUUGAAAAGUGGUGGAGGGAAGAAGUGCAGCAGCUUCUAUAACAGAGGUGUGGGACACGACAGCAUAUCCAGCUUUAGCUGGUGAAAAUUGAUUGGGUUUAGAAGAACUGCCAUCGAUAAACCAAGUGUGGUCUGGGUUUGGAAUUGGAAGAAUAGAAAUAUAAGGAAAGGGGGAAGAUGCUAUGUGUAUUAGGGAAAUACAGUCAUGUGGUUCAAGACUUGUGUUAUGUGCUAAGUGAGAAGCUGGGUUGAAAUUGGGCCCAUGGUUAAUAGUUACUUUUGGAAUUUCAACUAAGAGACAGUAGAGCCAGAGGAGUCAAGGGGCAGACAAUAAAUGUGAAAGGUGUGAGGAGCAUAUUAUUGCUUGAAGGUUGUGAGAACUGUAAAGGGUAAGUGGAGUAUAGCCUGUGCUUUUGAAGGCAUCUUUGAGGUUGAUAACAGAAUAGUGAGUUGUGGAAGCGGGUAUUGAAGAUAGGAGGGUGUACAGGUUUGGCACUAUAAGAUGGAUGGGAAGGACGAUUUGAUUAAUAAGGCAAAGAUCCUGAACCAACCUGUAAGACUUGUCUGGUUUCUGGAUGGGUAGGAUAGGGGAGUUGUAAGGAGAAUUUAUAGGCUUUAAGAGGCCAUGUUGUAACAGGUGGGUGAUAACAGGCUUUAACCCUUUUAAAGCCUGUUGUGGGAUGGGAGAUUGGCAUUGAGCAGGGUAAGGGUGAUUAGCUUUUAAUGGGAUUAUAAGGGGUGCAUGAUCGGUCACCAAGGAGGGAGUAGAGGUAUCCCAUAUUUGUGGAUUAAUGUAGGGAGACACAAUGGGAGGAUGCGAAGGAGACUUUGAACUGGGGAAAAGGGUGGCAAUGAGGUGUGGCUGUAGCCCAGGAAUAGUCAGGGAAGCAGAUAAUUUAGUUAAAAUGUCUGGACCUAAUAUGGGAGCUGGGCAGGUGGGGACAACUAACAAAGAGUGCAUAAAAGAAUAUGUCCAAGUUGGCACCAGAGUUGUGGAGUUUUAAGAGGUUUAGAAGCCUGGCUGUCAAUACCCACAACAGUUAUGGAGGCAAGGGAAACCGGCUCUUGAAAAGAAGGUAAUGUGUAGGGGGUAGCCUCUGUAUGGAUUAAGAAGGGGAUGGACUUACCCUCCACUGAAGCAUCUAUAGUGGUCCAGGGUGCUUCCAAGGCAAUUGGGCUGCAUCAGUCUUCAGCUGCUAAGCCAAGAAGAUCUGGGAAGGAGUCAAUCAGAGAGCCUUGGGCCAGAGUUCCAGGGGCUCUGGGAGUGGCUGCCAGACAAGUUGGACCAUCCAAUUUCCAGUGGCGUCCCGCCCAGAUGGGACACGACUUAGGAAGAAUCAUGGGCUGCAGGCAUUCCUUGGCCUAGUGGCCAGAUUUCUGGCACUUGAAGCAAGAUCCUGGGGGAGGAGGCCCUGGAGGAACACCUGGCUGCUGCGGUUUAGGCAUUCUGAAGUUCUUGUGUGCUGGAGAUGUGGCUGGGGUUUCUCUCACAGCGGAGGCAAGUAAUUUCAACUCAGAAAUAUGUUGCCGCUUCACUGCCUCUUCUCUAUUAUUGUAUACCUUGAAGAUUUGCAUUACAAGAAAGACUGACGGAUUUUAAACCACACCUAAAAGAAAAGAAGUGGUGGCGAAUAAAUUGUAGACUCUCCCAACUCAUCAUGUAGAUAUAUUAUACAAGCAAAUUACUAGCAGUCUUGGAGAAUAUUCAAUGAAUGCCUUUACAUGUUUGUAAGCAAAUAUAAAUUGUAUCAGAAUGUUGAGAGAUUGUAAUUAGUGGAAAUAACUAGCUGAAAUAAAAUUUUAAAUAACGUGUUUCUAAGAAGUUAAACAAUAGGCCUAAGACUUUUUUCACACAUUAUUAACCUCUAGGUAGAAGUGCUGUUAAUUAGUAGAAUAAUGUUCAAAGAAACAAUAAUAGGAUGAUACAAGAAAAUCCUUGCUAAUGAACACUGGCUUUGAUUUAUGUUUUUGCUCAGAGUUUUCCAAGAAAUAUGCACAUUUAUAAGAAAUUGUGGAUCACAUCAUUAUAUUUUCUUGAAUUAUUUGUGUCCUCUGUUAUCUCUCUGACAAUUCCAUGAAGCUCGAAAUUUACUUUAAAGAAAAAUAAUAUUACAUUUUGUAUUAACUCAAAAGGUUUCUCCCUGAGGUAAAUGAUGUUAUAUUCUGAAACGAACUAUAAGUAAUCUAGAUGCCUAUCUAGGAGAAUAUGAAAAGUUAGGUUCUGCGUUUUUCUACCACACAGCUUUAAUGCUUUCUCAUUAAACAAGCAAAGAUAGGUCCCUAUGGCAUGGCCCGUUACUAGUGUUGCCAGUUAUUAAUGUUAAAAAUAGAGCUAAUGUUAAAUUCAUUUAUUUUCUUAUGACAGUGGUCCCCCAUUAUCCCUGGGGGAUAUGUUCCAAGACCCUCAGUGGAUGCCUGAAACUGUAGGUAGGACCAAACCCUAUUUAUGCUAUGCUAUAUUUUUUUCCCAAACAUACAUACCUGGGCUAAAGCUGAAUUUGUUAAUUAGGCACAGUAAGAGAUUAACAACAAUAAUAAUGACAUAGAAAAAAUAUAACACCAUACUGUAAUAAAACUUACGUAAAUGUGGCCUCUCAAAAUAUCUUACUGUACUGCAGAUCUUAGACCCCUCAGUAUACAAUUUUUUUCCUUAUUAAAUUGAGAACUUUUGCCUUUUCACUUAAAGGAAGCACUUUGCAGCUUCUCUUUGGCAUAUCCAAAUUGCCAGUAUCACUACUCUUGCACUUUGAGGUCAUUAUAAAAUAAAAUACCGGUUAUUUGAAUACGAGCACUGCAAUACUGCCACAGUCAUUCUGAUGCCUGAGGUGGUUGACUAUCAAUCAAUGACUGACUAAUGGUUGGUAGUUUAGAUAGUGUGGGUACCCUGGACAAAGAGAUUAUUCAUGUGUCAAGUGGGAUGGAGGGGUACAGUGAGAGAUGUUUUUAAACUUAUGAAUUGUUUAUUUCUGGAAUUUUCUAUUUAAUGAUUUUGGAACUCCACUGAUCACAGGUAACUGAAACCAUGGAAAAUGAAACUGCAAAUAAUUAGGGACUACUAUAUUCAAAUGUUGUCCUUCAAAAAAUUCUCACCCUUCUCCCUCCCUUUGCCCCUUGCUUAUUCCUUCCUGCCCUUUCUUCUGUUGUCUACUUACUCAUCAAACACUUUUUGAACAGGGAACAAAGUAGACAUUGGUUAAAGAAGAGGUUAUAUAUUAACUCGUAUUUAUAGUCUCAUGGUCUGCAUUAGCUCUCUGAGUCUGAUCUCAGGUGUUUCCUAGUGAAAACAAAGUGCUACUCCCUGAUAAUCUUUCUGUGUCCUUUUGAAAAAGCAACACAUUUGCUCUCACCUAGCUUUAACUGUAAAAGAUAAGUUUUUUAACACUGUGGCAUUGAAAGUACUUUAGGUAUUUGGCAUUUCUUAGUAUUUGGGGAAAUAUUGACGAUUUCACUCAAAGAGUUUUGCUACUUAUAAUAUAGAUAGACAUAAUUAUUUCUUUUUUUUUUUUUUUUUUUUUUUUGAGACAGAGUUUUGCUCUUGUUAUCCAGGCUGGAGUGCAAUGGCUCAAUCUCGGCUCACUGCAACCUCUGCCUCCCGGAUUCAAGCAAUUCUUCUGUCUCAGCCUCCGAAGUAGCUGGGAUUACAGGCAUGGGCCACCACGCCCAGCUAAUUUUGUAUUUUUAGUAGGGACAGAGUUUUGCCAUGUUGGUCAGGCUGUUCUUGAACUCCCUACCUCAGGUGAUCCACCCGCCUUGGCCUCCCAAAGUGUUGGGAUUACAGGCAUGAGCCACCACGCCCGGCCUAACAUAAUGAUUUCAACAUCAAUUUUAACAAUGCAUUAAGUUCAGCUAUUUUCUAGUUUUGAGUAAAUGGAAAAUAUUAAUAAAUAACUUGGAGCUAAGCAAACUUUUCUAUUCUGUAAAUCAGGCAAAAGGUUAUUUUACAAUCUUUCUUGGACUAGCUUAAAUGUGAAGACUUAGCAUACUGGUGGGAAAAUAAUAAGGUUUUAUACAAGUUGAAUUUUUAAAAAUAUGCCAGGAGAUUUAAAAAACAUCUACAGAAAUACUAAAAGCUAAAUGGUAAAAUGAAAUACAUGCAUGUGAAUUGUUAUUUAUGUAAAUAAAGUUUAUCACACAAUAUAUGCAGCAAAUAUAGACUACACAUACAUUUCCAUGAUUUUUUCUCUCAGAACAAUCAUCUUGAUGUUCUUUCCAUUUCUAUCCUUGCAUAAUAAUUUAUUAACUAAAAGUCAUAAUGGGUGGUUUUCAUAUUCCAUGAGUAAACAUGAAGCUCAUCAUCUUCUUCCCUCUCUGUUUUCAUAUUUCAAUAUUUUCAUAUGAUCCUUAAUGUGAAUAACUUGUUUAUUCUAAAACAAAUAUUUUUUAGAAUGGCCAAAAUAUAUCUUUGAAAUUUCUAUAAAUGGUGACUUUCAUAUGUAUUCCAACUCUUUCUAGGUAAGUUUCAGCAUAACAAAAAUUAUUUUUAUAAUUUUAAAAUACUAGAACUGCUUGGACAUUUGUAUUUUCUUUGACCCUUAAUUUUGCAUAUGAUCUUUUACAUACCAAGUUUUAAAUUUUUAUGAAGUUAUACAUACCAAAUGUAUUAUUUAAUUCCAUCUAUUAUAUUUUAAAAAAUCUUCAGUUGACAGGCUGAAGAAUCUUUGCUAUCUUUUGUUUUACUUGUUUUAUAUUUUACCUCUAACUUUUUGAUUGUCUCAAUUUAUUUGGUGAUAUGAUGUACAGACUCAACUUUUUAGUUUUCACAAGUAGCUUGUUUUAAAAAUAUCUCACUGGUAUGUGACUAUCAUUACAAAAUUCUUGCAGAAACCUAUUUUAUUUAUCAGAACAUUUUUAAUGAGUUAUACUGCAUUAAUUAGGAUACUGCAUCAAUUAAUAAAGGCCAAAUAGUGAUUUUUAGAAUAGGGAUAUUUGUUACUCUCGCGUAAUAGUCCUGAUGUGAAAUUUUCGUGGUAUUGGGAACCCAGGUGCUUCAUUUCAUUGCUCUGCUAUCCCAGGCAAACAGCUUCACACCAAUAGUACAAGACAACCAUUUCAAAAAAGAGCUGCCAAGCUUCCUGUCUUUGAAGGCCACAACCCAGAAACUGUACAUUAUCACUGCUGCUUAAAACUCAUUGGCCAGAAACUAGUCACAAAGACACAUGUAGCCAGAAGAGAUGUGAAAUGCAAACUAAGCUGAACAACCAUGUACCUAAGUAAAACUCUUUGUACUAAAGAAAAUAAACUUUGGACACAAAAAUGGGCAUCUCUGCCAGACAAACCCAAUUAACUACUGUGGCUUUGUGUUUUGACAUCUGGUAAGGAAAAUCUCUGCUUAAUUCUUUUCAAUGUCAUACUUAUUUUGGCUAGUGCCUCCAUUUAUUCUGCCAGAGGAAUCUUAGAAUCAGCUAAAAAUAAGACAAAUAAAUUUUUUAUUAGAUCUUCAUCAAUAUACAAAUUACUUUGGAAGGAAUUUAUAUAUUUACAUUAUAAUGUAUUUCUACUAAGUAGACACUUCUUUUUAUUUAUCAAAAAUACACACAUACACAUACACACACAUACACACACACAUAUAUAUAGGCAGUAUUCCCUUUUUCUUUUAUUUUUAGCUUUAGUUUUUUCCUCAAAGCACUUAACUUCUAAAGUCAUUCCUGUAUACUAAUAUUUUAUUGUGAGAAAUAGGACCAGUAAUUGUCAAAAUCUAGAACAAUUAUUGAUAUUUGUAUAUUUAACUUAUAUAUAGUCACCCUUGAAUAUGAUUUAUCCUAAAAUAUUUCUUCAUUAUGUUAUCCACAAGGAACAGUGAUUUUUCCCUACUUGAAUCUUACUUUUUAUCUGAUUUCUAUGUCCUCUCUUAUAUAACUGGCAAUUAUGACUAAAAUUUUGUCAAUUAUUAACUGAGAAACAGGAUGUUUUUGUCUUAUUCUUAAUGUUAUGGAGACAUCUAUUUCUUCAGUUUUUAAUACAUUAAUACCCUUUUGUUAAAGAAAAAAUAUUGUCUAUAAAUAUAUUUAUGAGGAAAUAUAUAAUGAUUUUAUAUCUUUCUCAAAAAUAAUGAUACGAUAAAACUUCAAAUAGUUUUCCCAUUGAUUUCUUAAUUGCAAUACGCUUUCAUACUUUCAAUGGGUUUCCUGACAUAAUCAUCUUUCCAAUAAUAGAUAAGUUGGUCCUAUAAAAGAAGUUAAGUAAAUUACCAAGUAAAUACUUGGUAGGUCUUUUGUUAAAUGACCAAAUUAUAUAUGUUAAUAUUUUACUUAACUUUUUUAAAAAAAUAGUGACCUUUACUAAAUCUGGUUCAGGGUCUUAAAUUGGGAUUUUGUUUGUUUGAUAUGCGUUUUGUUACUAGGGCAUAUUGGAUGUAUAUGGAUAGUGUUGGUCGGAGCUCAUACAAAUUACACAUUUAUUAACUUAGUCAAUAAAUUACAUAGUAAGAUUUAAAAAAGUGGAAAAUCAGUGCAGAGAUAAGUCUCUAAAAAGAUAGUCUGUGUAUAGCAUGCAAACCAGAUGUGGAUGAGGCAGCCAGAAUAUCUGGAGAAACAUGAGAAACCCUAAGGAAAUCUGACUUAAAGACAAAUGUUUCUGAGACACUACUGUUCAACAGAAGUAUAUUGAGAGCCAUUUUCCUAAUUUUAAUUUGUCUAGUAGCAACAUAAAACAGUGAAAUUAAUUUUAGCAAUGUACUUUGUUUAUACUGAUAUAACAAAAAACAUUUUAAUAUGUAAUUAAUAUACAAAUUAUUAAUGAAAUUUUAUUUUCUUCUUUCCCUCCGUCCCUUUUCUUCCUUCCUUUCUUUUUCUCCCACCUUCCUUCCUUCCCUCCUUCCUUCGUUAGCCUUCAAAAGCAGUGUGUAUUUUAUACAUAUUGCACAUCUUAAUUUAGACUAACUGCAUGUUAAGUGCUCCAUAGCCACUUGUGGCUAGUGGCAACUGUAUUGUCUUAGGGUUUGACUCACUGUGGUAUUUAUCAAUAUAAUAUUCACUUGUGAACUCAUUCACAUUGCUGUACAUGUUCAAUCUUAUUUACAUCUAUGAGUUAGAGUAUGGGUUACAGUUUCAGAAUCUAGGCAUGACCUCCACAUGAACUCCCUGAUCCAUAGGCUUUAUUAGUUAAAAUGGCCAAAAUGGCGAAACCCCAUCUCUACUAAAAAUACAAAAAUUAGCCAGGCAUGGUGGCAGGUGCCUGUAAUCCCAGCUACUCAGGAGGCUGAGGCAGGAGAAUCGCUUCAACUCAGGAUGUGGAGGUUGCAGUGAGCUGAGAUCGCGCCACUGCACUCCAGCAUGGGGGAGAGGGCGAGAAUCCAUCUCAAAUAAAUAAAUAAAUAAACAAAAUGUAGAUUACCUCAAGCCUGGCAGAUAUUGUUGGUCUUGAUGGAUAGCUUCGGAUUAUUUUCACAUUCCGUUAAAUAUUUCAUAUAUAAUUCAGUACUUUGGAAAGUGGAUGUGGAUUUCAACUUUUUCACUUAAAAGUAGUUUCACUGAAGCUGUUUACUUACCAAUCAUUUAGCACAAAUACAUUACAGGAUUUCAUCUAAUAAGAACUUUCUUGGACCUGCGAUUCUGUAACAAUAGGUAUCAGAACACGUUUACUGUGAUAAGGUGCUAAUUUAACUUUAGUAUUUUUUAUCUGAACACAUGCAACUCACCUGGAUGACUGUGCCUGAGAGACUGGUGGUCCAGACAUGUCCCCCAUGUGAACUCUUCACUAGCUCUUUGCAAAGAAGUUUUUAUCUUUUUCUGUGCACUGAAAUAAUUUGUGUAGCAUGGGACUAAUUUAUUCUGUGAAACCGUUUGGUACAAUCCUUCAAUACAACUUCUGGAUGUGGUAUUUUGCCAGAAUUCAUUUUUGUAUCUCUUCCAUUUUGGUUGAUCUAUGAAGUUCACUGUCUCUUCUUAUAUCAAUUAUAAUGUUUUUAUAAUAUAUUAUGAGAGAUGAUAAUUUCACUUAUGACAAUUUAUGAAUAAUUACAUUUUUUAUAACCAUUAAUUUACUCAGAUUUCCAAUUCCAGUAGAAUGGAUUUGAUAUUUAAUAAUUGUUUACUUUUUAAGUAAUUAUUCCAAUUUUAAUUUUUAAAACAUUUUGUCUUAAUUAUCAAUUCCAUUGUUGUAUAUUUUUAUUAUUGAUCAUGUAUUUAAUUUCCCAAGUUUUUCUAUGCAUUUUAAUUAUUAAUUAGUGCUUCUUUUAUUUCUUUCAUUAAAAUUCUAUUUUUAAUUACUAGUAAAUUAACAUUAACUUAUAAUUUUGUUAGAUUUGUUGCUUUAUUUCUGUUUUCAAUACAUCUGUUAAUUUCAUAAGCUAACUCCUUUUCCUUGUACACUAGAUUGGGACAAUAUUUUGUAGUGCUCUAUGAACACUUGGAGACAUUUGUUUGUAUAAGUAAAAAUUUUAUAUUUAUCAAUUAUUUUGCCUUUUGGUUGGUUUAAAAUUCUUUGUGAUCUCUUUUACUUGUCUACUUAAUCCCUGAUAGAAAACUGUAUGUUAAAGUAACAUCAUCAAAUUAUAGGUUAUAAUAAAUUAGGUUUUCAUUGCUAAAUGUUUUCUAGUUUAUUGCUAGGCACUAUAUUUUUUCUAUAUAUCAAAAUCAUGGUUUACAGGUUGUUGUUUUUUUCUCAGCAUUUGAAAUUUGUUAUUCGACUGUCUUCUAGCCUUCAUUGCUCUUAAUGAGAAAAUGAUGAUCAAAUUGCUGUUUUUCUCUAAAUCAUGUAGAAUAUUUCUACAGCUGUUUUUUUUGAGAUAUUUUCUUUGUUUUCCUUUUUCAAGAGUUUAACUAGUCUGUGUUCAUGCCUGAAAUAGAUUUUGUAAUUAUCCUUUUAGGGGGUUAGCUAACUUUUUGAAUCUUUAAUUUUUUUUUUUUUUUUUUUUUGGUCUUUCACAUUUGAGAAGUUUAGAGCAAUUAUUUCUUCCAAUACUAUUCUCCUACAUCCUAUCUCUCCUCUCUUUCUGGGAAUCCAAUGACCUUUAUGUUUCAUGUUUGAUAUUAUUCCACAUGGCCCUGAGGUUCAGUUCACAUUCUUUAUUAUAUCUUGUUUUUCUCUCUUCUUAAAGUUGGAUAAUUUUUAUUGUUCUGUCUUCAAGUUCAUUGACAUUUUACUCUAAUAUCUUCAGUCCUCUAUUAAGUCCCUAUGACAAAUUUUAAAAUUUCAGAUAUUUAACUUUUCAGUUCUAAUGUGUUGUGUGUGUGUAUGUGUGUGUGUUAUUUAUAUGCUGGAAUUUCCUACAUUUUCAUUUGUAAUAGUCUAUCUUCCUUUAAACACACUGAACAUAGUUACAAUGGUUGCUAUAAUAUCCAAACUUAAUAAUCUCAUCAUUUCAUCAUCUGUGUUAUUUUGAGACUGAACUCUGUUCUUUUCCCUUGAGAAAAGUUCAAGUUUUCUGAUUCUUCAUAUAUGGAGUAGUUUUAGAUUACACUGGAUGUUAUAUUGUGGAGACUUAAGAUUCUAUUAUAGUACUCCAAACAAUGUUGACGUUUAUGUUUUUGGUGACAAUUAACUUCGCUAGAUUCAGACUUCAAAUUGUGUCAUACUUGCAGUGGACUGUGGCUCAGACCUCAGUUGAUAUUGCUUUAAAUCUGCUUCAUACUCAUCUGGUUCGUAAGUUACCAGAAAUUUGAAUAACAUUUAUGCACGGAAUUUAGCUUUCCUCUUCUUGGCCCUAUUUUUGCCAGGCUGCCUUCCUCAAUCUCAGGUGGUCCCAGUUGUUCCAGCUCCUUCCCUGGUAUCUCUCGACAGAGGGUGGUGAGCUUUCUCUUAGAGUUUUAGUUGUUCUAUGACAUAACUGAUGUAACCAUGUCUUCCUCCAAAGCAAAGACACAAAAAUGGGAAAUUUAUUUUAUGAUGAUUUGUUACAUGUUUUGAGAACCCUCCAAAAUCUGCCUGCUUUUAUUCACUCAUUAGAAUCAUCCAGCAGUAUUGAUUUUUGCACUUGGUAUAGUUUAUAGUUGUUAUCUAAGAAAAUGAUCACUUGUUUUUAACUUAGUACUCCAUAUUAGCUGCAGAACAUCUUAGAAAAUUUUACGGUUGUGAGGCAGGAGUCUGAACUAGGCAAAAGAACAACAAAACCAAGGCAUGAAAUGUUUACAGCUCAGGAGAACAGUAUAUUAUUUGCAAUAAAAUAUUAUUAUUUAUAUUUUGUUAUCAUAAGCUAUUAUUUAUAUGUCAUUGAAUUAUCUAUCAUAGAAUUUCUAUGUAUAUAGGUUUUUAUUCCUAUAGAAUUAUUACUCCUAUAUCUUAGGAUAUCAUAUGAUACAUUUGGGAAAUAGAUAUAAAAUAGGUUAUGGGUUAUUAUACUGGUGGACAAAAAAAUUUUGAAAAUAUUUCUAAGAACAAUGACAUGAUCAAAAUUAUAUUCAUGAAUGAUUAUAUUAGUAAUAAUGUAUGGGACUCAUUGAUUUUCAUAUAGGCAAGGAUCAGAAAUUAUAGGCAGAGUUAACCCAAUAAUCCCAAGGAAAAAGGAGAGUAUGAACGAGAGUGUAGGGCAAUAAAAAUAAAGUGGGGAAAUGACUGUAUGACAUGAUACAUAUGGGAGUAGUAACAUUUUCAGUGGCAUUACGGUAACUCAUAAAGCUAAUGCAAACCUUAAAAAUUUUUACAUGUAAAACCUUUAUAAAAUAAUAUCAGGCUGAAUUAGGACAAGGAAAGAAAAUAUUCCAUAUUAAUUUCUUAUUAUAGCUUCAAUGUAAACAGAUAGUGAUGUUGUCAUUUACUUAAAAGUAGAAAUCAGGAGAUAGAACUAACUUGUUUUAAGCCUUUUUAUUUUUGCUAUCUACUCGAAGCCUAUGCAAUAUUAUGUGGUUCUUCCUAAUAGUUUUAAGUUGCCCUUUCAUGACUCUCUUUUUUGAGGUAAAACUUUUUAAUGCUGACAUAAUACAUUAUUAAUAUUUCUAAUUUUGAACAAUAAUGUAAAUAAAUCAUUACAGAGCAUUUAAUUAAUAUUAGUUAAGACUAGCUAUGCUCCAUUAUUUUGCAUGUCUUUAACAAUAAUUAUGUAAUCUUUCAUUAUUCUCAUUGAUUAAAAUAAAAUAUAAUCAGAUAAUUAGCUUAACUUUAAUCAAAAUAGCCCUACAUUUUUCAUUUGAGAAAAUAAAAAGUUUAACUUAGUAUUUUAAAUAUAACUUAGAGUAAAACGUGUAUACAAUAUAUAUUUUAUAGUUAUAUAUUUUCAUUCUGUUGUCACCAGUAACUUUUUAUCAUUUAAAAAUAAGUAUGUCAAGCACAAAAGUAACAAAUUAUUAUUGCUUUUGCUGCUGUUAAUGUUCAAAUGCAUAAGGACUGAGACAUUUACAGAGAGUUUUUUUCCCUUUGAACUGAAGAAAUCUAUAAUUCUUUCACCUUAGCACUCAAGCACAUUUUCUACUCCAGAUUGAAAUAUGUUAUUUCUCAAGGAAUGGCUAUAAUAUAGACAUCAUAGUUAUUGUUCAUAUAGAAUAUUCUUUGAAUAUAACUUUAACACUAUGGCAAAAUGAUAUACUAAAUAUCAAAGAAUUCUUAGUUUCUGAUUCUUAUUACAAGAGAUAAAAUAUAAACAUUACAGCCUACAUGCACUCUUGGCUACACUGUUUUUAUAACUAAGAUAUAAACACAUUUAAUUGUUCUGCCAUAUUUAAGAUUCCUUCAAUUAAAUGUUUGCAAUCUUCCCUUUAAAAAAUUUCAGCUAAGAACAUCUAUUACAGGCUUAAAAUAUUUUCCUAAACACAUAAACACAUUUAAUUAUUCUUCCAUAUUAAAGAUUCCUUCUACAAAAUAAGUUUGCAAUCUUCCCUUAAAAAAAUUUCAACUACAAACAUCUAUAACAGACUUAAGCUAUUUUCCUAAAACUGCAUGUGACUUUAAUCUUAAUGUGAAUUUGGAGUUGUGCCUUGACACUAUUGAACAUAUAUAAAAUAUUGAUGUGUUGCAUAAUGCCAAUCUGAAUUUAAAUUUGGCAGUAUUGGGAGCAUAAUCACUGAGUGACACUAAAUUAAAGUGUCAAUAUAUUGGUCAAUAUGUUAUCUCUGAAAUGAAAGAACUAUAGAGAACCUGUCAUUAAAUUGCUCCUGCCCAAGAUAUAACACUUAAUCUUGUCCUCUGUCAUCGAAUUUGUGUUCUCAAAACCUCCUGAGAGACACUGUCCUAACUUUGCUCUAGGAUAUACCUCUCUGGACAGUGUAAUGAACCAUUUGUUUCUAAAUUAACAACCAGGACACAAAACAUCCUUCUAACUUCUUUUGUUUUUAACUGUACUUCAUAUUUUCCUCAAAUUAUCAAGACUAUUAAAACCACUUCCUGGUCAGCACAGUAUUUCUUUUUCUUUUCUCUUUUUGCUCUUGUCACCCAGACUGGAGUGCAGUGGCAUGAUCUUGGCUCACUGCAACCUCCGCCUCCUGGGUUCAAGAGAUUCUUCUGCCUCAGCCUCCCAAUUAGCUGGGAUUACAGGAGCCCACAACCACGCCCGGCUAAUUUUUUGUAUUUUUAGUGGAGACGGUGUUUUGCCAUGUUGGGGAAGCUGGUCUUGAACUCCUGACCUCAGGUGAUCUGCCUGCCUCGACCUCCCAAAGUGCUGGGAUUACAGGCAUGAGCCACCACACCUGGCCACAGUGUUUCUUUUUCUAUGCCUUCAUUUGAACUCAUUCUUCCUUCUGUAACUGAGUGUAAAUAACUAAGUGGCUUCGUAUGUUUGACAUUUCCUCUUUUAUUUUAUAAUUUUGUCUAAAAUAAAGAUGCUUACUUUAUCUUCACAAGGGUUUUUUGGCCAAUGACAUUCGGUUGAACAGGUGUGUUUAGAAAAUAGGUUUUCUAAUGGAAAGGCCUGUUAAAUUUCUAUUCUAACAACCAGUACAAUUAUUCUGAUAUUUCAUGUAAAGCUCAUAAAAAUCAAUGUAUAAUUAAAUAUAGCAUGUUAUGUAUUUUAAAUAUUUGUUUUCAUUCAAUUUAAUCCUUGAUUCAAUACUUUACAUCAACAUAUUCAUAUAGUGAUAGUAUGUGCAUUGAGUUACAUCCAUUAUUUAUGUGAUCUAUUUUCUUUUUUUUUUUUUUUCAAAAGCCGCAUUUCUGCUUGUUGGCACAUUUUAAGGAAUACAAUUAUAAACACUGUUGAGGUUUUUCAAGUUAUAAUUUUUGUCUGUUUUGAGACAGGGUCUCGCUCUGUCAUGGAGGGUGGAAUGCAGUGGCACAACCAUAGAUCAUAGUAUCCUGGACAUCCUGAGCUCGAGCAAUGCUCCCACCUCAGCCUCCCGAAUAACUAGGAGUACCGAGAGGUACCACCAUGCCUGGCUAAUUUUUAAUUUUUUUGUAGUUGCCCAGGCUGGUUUCCAAUUCCCAGGCUCAGGUGAUCCUCCUGCCUCAGCCUCCCAAAGUGCUGGAAUUACAGGUAAGAACCACUGCACCUGGCCAGUUUUUGUGCUUUGAAUUGACCUUAUUUAACCCUCCUAUAAAUAGUAAGAAUUAGCUCUUUAAAACUAUUUGCACUAGGAAACUAGUCUUAUAGAAUGUUUAUUCUUAUUUUUCUUAAUUGUGUAAUUGUAUUGUUUUCUUUGUAGUAAAAACCUCUAAACUGACUUAAGCAUCCUAUUAAUAACAUGUCAAUUUCUCACUAAGCUUAGCUUUAAUAUUUAAUAUCUCAUUAAGCUUAGCAUUUAAUUAUCAUCAACCUUCCCUGGAAGUGGUGGAAUUACUGUUUGACUGCUUUCAACAACUUUUUAUUUCACCAGUUUCUUCCUUUCAGCAAUGCCAAAGCUUCCAAUGAUAAAUGCAUAGAUAUGGAGGUUAUCUUAAAAUCACUAGAGAAUUAGUGAUAUCUUGAUAUCACUAGAAUAGUUGGCCAGAUACCUGGUUAGUUUAUUUUCAUUUUUUUUUUACAUUUUCCCAAAACUAUAUUACUUUGGGGCUAAAUCUCUCCAUAUUACUGUUCUAACUGUAGCCUGAACUGGUUGGACUAAUUGAUCUAUAAAGUCCUUAUUAGCCCUAUCAAUCUCCGAAUUCAUGGUUUUAGAUAUUGUAAAGAACUGGAGCAAGGCACAAGAGAAAACUGAUAAUGUUACAAGUAUUCUGUCAAUGCAACCAUCUCUGAGCAACAAGGAGAACCUCUUGGAGUUGUCUAAGUGAAUAAACUCUUAAUAUGUACGGUAAACUACUAUUCUUAUGAUUUUUCUGUAAGAGAUUGCAUAUAAAACUUUCCCAUGAACUGUUUAAAAUAGAUCUUAAAAUUAUUUAUUAAUUAAAAAAUAUGCUUAGAGAUGUGCAAUGUCUCUCACUAGAAUUAUUUACAUAGCCUACUAUUUCUCACCCAUUUGUCCUAUUUGUUGAUUUAUUUAAUUUUUAAAGAGUGGACUUUGUUGGAUUUAUCCUCCCAUGUAGGUGUCUCUAACAAGAGUGUUAGAAGUUAUUAAAAGCAUUUACAGCAAAGAUAUUGCAAGGAAGGUUUUAACUAUGAAGACUCCAACCAUUUAUUCCUAACCAAAUUGACUUGGACACUGGUGGACUACUGUGUCCUAGUUUAAGUUCCUUUGCUUUUAUACCCAUUUCCACCACAGAAAUGUUAGCUGUAAAUUAGACAUAAUUUUUUACAUGUGGAACAUCUUUAUAGUAAUUUCGAUCCCUAGAAGGUCAAAGUGGAAUAGUAUCAUUUAUUUGACUUACUUGAACAUACAUUAAAAUAACACUUAUUUGACAUUUAUUGAAAGUGCUUCAUCUCAUAUGAACCCUGAAAGUCAAUAAUAUUAAUAAAAAAUUGAUUUAGCAUUCAUAUUUGUCAGGGCAAAGAUGUGGAUUAUAAAACAUUACUUUUUUAGUUUUUUUUUAAGCUUAAGGCUAGAUAUAGUCAAUACAUAUAAAUUUACCACUCUGCUAUUUAUAUAUUUUACAUUUUAUUUUUCCAGCAUUUCUUUUCUUUUUCAAUAUUCUUGCUGCAUUUAGGCAAUAAUUUUCCAACCUUAGAACAUAAAUCAUAAUAGCAUUCAAUCCUGAAGAGCUCAGCUUCAAAUCGUUAAAAUGUGUUUAAUGCAUGAAACACAGUUGACCUGUUUCUUUCCUCCAUUCUCUAAAAAAGCCCUGCCUUUAAAAUAUCAAAGAAUUCCUGUCCUACAUCUCAAAUUGUCAUAUGUAUCUUAUACUAAAAUUACUCCUUUUUCUAUUUUAUUUUUUAAGGGACUGUGUAUGUGUACAGGGGUGUGUGUGUGUGUGUGUGUGUUUCUGUCUCUCUGUGUGUGAAUUCUGAUGUUUCUUGUUUUCCAUUAGAUGGAAACAUUAGAAUAUAGUGAACAUUCCCCUAAAUUUUAACUAGAAAAAAAUAUUUUAAAUGUGAUUUUUCUCUAUUUCAUUCUCCCUGUUUCUCUUUCUCUCUUUGACUCUGCUCUGUAAUGUUAUGUAAGAAUUUAGACUACUAUUUAUAGUAGAGAGAAGAAGGAUAAUUCUUGUAUCUCAGGACAACUCAGCUUUUACAAGGGGCCUUAGUGACACACCAAGGUGUAAAGGGAGUGGCCGAGGAAUUGAUGAAACAUGUUAAAGCUUACCUGCUAAAGUAAAAAAAAAAAAAAAAAUACAUUUUAGAAGGCUUUAAUAGUAGGUUUUCUUUUAAAAAUUUUAAAUGUUUAACUCCAUUCACAGCUAAAGGGUUCACUGCUAUUUUUACACAGGAUAUAAAGAUGGAAAAGGAGCACAUGUUUUUAAAGAUGAGGAAAGUGAAGCCAGGAGGUUAUGCAACUUGCCCAAGCAAGUUACUGGAGCCAGAUCUCAAACUUAGGUUCUGUUUUCUUAACAACUCAAUGCUGUAAUUAAUAAUGAUAAUGUGAACAGAAAUAAUACUGUAAAAUAUAUAUUGAGUGCUCACAUGGAAGUCAGACUUUGUAGCCAAUUAAAUUAUGGAUUUUCCAAUUCAACAAACGAAAGUGAUAUUUGUAGUGAAAUCCCCAGAUAUUUUCUUUCCUCAAAUAAACUAAUUCAAUCUGUUUUACCUUUUAAAAUCAUUAAUGACAGUAUUCUAUUUAACUAAAAAAAAUACAUAUUUGUGUAAGAAAAAGACAAGUAAAAUAAAUUUGUGUAAAAUUCAAAAUUACGUUUUAUUUUUACUUUUUUCCUUCUCUUUAAAUGCAGUGAACUUCUAUUAUUUGAAAAUCAUUUUUUCCUCAUUUCUUACUUUGUUUCUCAUCUUGAUGCUUGCAUUUUAGUUUUUUGUUGUUGUUGUUUGUUUGUUUGUUUUACUGUUCAUUAGCACUUUCAGCUAACAGGUGAGCUGAGGGCCUGUAAGAAAUUCCAAAAUUCAAAUCAGCCAAGUAUAUGUUUGUUCUCAGGGCUGGCAUCCAGUUUCAACUAUCAGUGUGACUUCUGGCAGCAUAGUGGCACACAGCACAUUUGGGUGAAGCUCUAAUUUUGCACUUCCUGAACACAGGUUAGCACACGACGUUUCCUUCGGGUUUUUCUCUGUAUCCACAUAAUGGGCACUUUGCAUUCCCCAAAGCAGUAACUGUAUUUGUAUUUUUCAUGGAUUAAAAAUAUCUAAAAUAAAAUUUUGAACUAUAGACUAGGUUUUUGAUAGAUAUGCAGUUGAAAAGCAAAUCAAUUAAAAAAUAAUUAGACAAUAUAUCACUUAAUAUGGAAGAGAGAAUGCAAAAGGCAAGAGAUCAUGCUGGUUUACAUAAUCAAUCUUAUUGCUAUGGAGGCAUUUACUGAAGUUAAAAUAGCACAACUUUUUCAAUUGCCAGAAAAAAACCGCACUGGCCAGAAUUAAACAAGUAAAGAGGACUUUAUUCAAGUCUAUAGCAAUAGGGUAGAGACAUUGAGCAUAAUUUCUCUGAAACAAAAGGGUGGAUGUUUUUGUGUUUUUCAAGCCUGGCAGAGUUUUAAUCCCUGGAAUGAGUUAAUGGAAAAUUACUGGAGGACCUUAAGGGCAGGUUGGUCAAUGGGAUUAGGCCAUCACUAUUUACUAAUUGUCCUUUAUGGACUUCUACCCUUCCACAGAGACUGAGAGAGCAGGACACUAUCUCCUUAGAUGAUUACAUUUCAAAGAAAUGGUUCCUGGAUUUUUGAGAAAGACAUUUCUGGGUUGUAAAACUGGCAAAUCCUGGAGGAGACAUACUUCAAAGAGCCAAAGAAAGAAUGUGUACUUGCAAGUGUUCUAAAGUAAAUGGUCUAAGAGAAAGGAGAUCAGGAGGCUAUAGACAGGAAGAAGCCCCUCUAUGGUAUAGUCAAGCAGAGUGAACAUUAAGGCCCUCUGGUCAUAAUGUAUAUAGAAACGUUAAAAAAAAAAAUCCUGAGAAGAUGUUGACUAUUUAUUUUUAUCCACAAUCCAGUAAGGUCUAGGCAGUUUAGCCUGCCUCCAUGGCAGAAAGCUUAAUACACAGGUAUUAUUUAUCUAACUUUACCAAAGCCAGUUGUUAUUAGUAUUUGAUAUACAAAUAAGUACUUCUACAUAAUCUAGUCUAACAUAAGAUGUUUUGUCAAGCUAUCCCUCCCUUGAAUUUGCAAAAUAUAAUUGUGUUUUCUCUUUCAUAUUCAUCCAACUGUCAGCUGAACAAAGACAAACACUUUCUUUGUGAAGAUUUAUGGCAAGCAGUUCAAGUUGCAAUCUGCAGUACCACAGAAAUUUCCAAUAAUUCAAAAGCUGAAAAUAGCUUAAGAAAUGUUAUCCUUGGGCUAUUUAUGUCUUUGGCAAAGAAAGUUCAUUUAAUAUAAUUACCUAUUCUUUACAUUUUUAAAUGGAAAAGGAUAUAUUGUCUCUAGGCAGUAAAUUCUAAAUUCCAGGAAGAAGACAUUUUUGAAAAAGAAGAAGAAAGUAAUUCUAGAGAAGAAUUUGAAAGCAGCAUUAGGCCAUGGCCUUUCCAUAAUUAGGCAUAAGCUCAUCACUCUCAUAAUAGUGAAGUAUAUGAAGUCAGUGAGAUUGGGCAGUUAAUGGACUGCUGCUUUGAAAAUAUUCCACUGUCAGUUAAACUUGGAAUUUUUUCUCAACCUAUAAACCAUUUGACUUUAUAAAAGAAAAUGGAUAUUUUAACUGUAAAGAUUACAAAAUUGCUUUAUAAAUAUGUUCCUUAAGUGAAAAUGGCAUUUGGAAUCAUGUAUACAGUUGUUCCUUACUGUCUGUGAGAAAUUGGUUUCAGGACCUCAGCGGAGCCCAAAAUCCAUGGAUGUUCAUUCGUUAUAUAAAAUGGCAUAGAAUUUCCAUAUAAUUUACACGUCUUUCCAUAUACUUUAAAUCAUCGCUCAAUUAUUUAUGAAGACUAAACUCCUUUUUUUUUUUUUUAAUCUUGCCCAAAUUCCUAUCUAAGAGGUCUAGGGAGUCAUGCCCUACAAACCGUAAAUUCUCAUCAGAUGAGUUUUAUGUAACUUAUAUAUCAUGACUUACUUUCCAAACUGACUCCAGCGUAACACUACGAGACAAGGAAGAAAAGCAAAAUAUUUACCCCAAAUGUGUGUUUCUUUGUCAUAUUUUGAAAUGGCCCUGCAAGCCAUCCUUUAUGGGGGAAAAUUUGCACAUGUAAAGAAUCCCUAUUAACAUAGCUAGACCUUUUCCUUCCAGGCCCCUCUAAUUCUGAAUAGAUAACUGAGAGUCUAGCACUUUUAAAAGUCUGAAUAGGAAACAUUUGUCAUCUAGUGUUUCUAAGUGCAGCUGCUAUGAGACUUCAAAAGAAUCUUGGUCUCCAAAGUCUUUUAUUUUAACCUGAACAUUUUCUUUCUAUUGAUCUCAGGUCCUUAGACAGAACUCAACCAAUUGUCAACCAGAGAAUGUUUAAAUUUACCUAUACCCUGGAACCCCCGUACCCUCAUUGUCUACCCUGUGUUUCAAAUUACCUCACCUUUCUGGAACUAACCAGUGCAUUCCUUAAAUGUAUUUGAUUGAUGUCUCUUGCCUCCCUAAAAUGUAUAAAACCAAGCUGUACCCCAACCAUUUUGGGCACAUGUUCUCGGUCCUCCUGAGAGCUGUGACAUAGGCCGUGGUCACUCGUAUUUGGCCCAGAAUAAAUCUCUUUAAAUAUUUUACAGAAUUUGACUGUUUUCAUUGACACUUAUAAUAUGUAAUACCAUGUGAAUGCUAUGUAAAUAGUUGUUAUUCUGCAAUAUUUUAUAUUUGUAUUAUAUUUUAUUGCUGUGUUAUCUUUUCUAAUAUUUCGAAUCUGAGGUUGGUUGAAUUUGCAGAUGGGGAACCCACUGUAAUCAAGGGCUGACUAUUUAAUUAUGUAAUUAACUCACCUAGAUAGUAAUAAUUUUUCAAAGAAAAGUAUAAAAAUAGAUGAGAAGACUAUGCUGUUUGGCCUGCAAAAGGUAGAAACCUAGCUCAAAGUAAUUUAAUUCAAAAGAAUGGAAAAAAAUGUCAUGAAAGAUACUGAAACUCUAUUGACCACACACACAUACACACACAAACGCACACAUGUGCAAACAUGCGCACACACACACACACACACACACACACUCUCUCUCUCUCUCUGUCUCUCUCUCUAUUCUAAAGAUAGAACUUUUUCUUCCCAAUCACCGUGUUGCACAGCCUCUCCUGUGCUGGGCACGCAAUGGCUGACAAACUUCCUAAAAAAAGUUUAGGUGGAGGUUUUUCCCUGGGAUAUAUUUCCAGUCUUUUGGACAUGCCAGGUCACUUGCUAUGCUAUAUAUAUAGUCCUGUAUCACUUAACAACAAGGAUACAUUCUGAGAAUUUGUUGUUAGACAAUUUUAUUGUGCAAACAUCGUAGAGUGUACUUAUACAAACCUAGAUGGUAUAGCAUACUACACAGCUAGGCCAUAUGGAGUAGCCUAUUGAACCUAGGCUACAAACAUGUACAGCAUGUUACUAUACUGAACACUGUAAGCAAUUGUAACAUAUUGGGAAGGAUUUAUGUAUUUAAACAUACCUAAACAGAAAAUGUACAGUAAAAAUUCAGUACUAUAUUCUUAUGGGACUACCAUUGUGUAUCCAGUACUUUGUUGACUGAAGCAUCAUUAUAAGCCAUAUUAUAUAUCUUUUUGAAACAUAAAGGUAUAGCAAAUGACUUGUGGCUCCAACAAACAGAUUAGUUUGUCCCCUACUUAGUCAGUUGGAUUCUUUACAUUAGAAACAUGUAGUUUGCUGAUCUUUCUUCUCUAGGUGAGUAAAAUAGCCAUAGUAUCCAUCAUCCCUUGAUUCCAAGGCUCCUGUAUGUCCGUUACUCCCUAAGUUAUAUAUUUUCCAAAUAAUGCUCUGUGCCACUGUCAUCUUAAAGUGGUUAUUAAAUCCUAGGCACACCUUCUUCAAAUGCCUCUUGAAAGUGCCACCUCCUGGUGGGAGGCCAACCAACACAAAACCAGUACAAUCAACAAAACACAACCAAGGACCCACACAGAGUCCACUUCCCUCCCCUGCCACCUCCACCAGAGUGGGUGCUGGUAUCCAUGGCUGGGAGACUUGAAGAUGAAUCACAUCACUGGACUCUUUGCAAACAUUCCCCAGCAUCAGCCUGGAGCCCAGUAGCCCCACUGCAUGGCUGAAACAGUCUACCAAAAUAAGAAGGAAAUAUAUACAUAUAUGCACCUAACACUGGAGCUCCCAAAUUUAUAAAACAAUUACUACUAGACCUAAGAAAUAAAAUAGAUGGCAACACAACAAUAGUGGGGGACGUGAAUACCCCACUGACAGCACUAGACAGGUCAUCAGGACAGAAAGUCAGCGAAGAAACAAUGGGCUUAAACUAUACCAUAGAACAAAUGAACUUACAGAUAUUUACAGAACAUUCUACCCAACAACUGCAUAAUAUAUAUAUAUUUUCAUCUGCACAUGGAACAUUCUCCAAGAUAGACAAUAUGAUAGGCCAUGUCAGGCCUCUGAGCCCACUAAGCCAUCAUAUCCCCUGUUACCUGCACAUACACAUCCAGAUGGCCGGUUCCUGCCUUAACUGAUGACAUUCCACCACAAAAGAAGUGAAAAUGGCCUGUUCCUGCCUUAACCGAUGACACUGUCUUGUGAAAUUCCCUCUCCUGGCUCAUCCUGGCUCAAAAGCUCCCCCACUGAGUACCUUGUGACCCCCACUCCUGCCCACCAGAGAACAACCCCCCUUUUUCCUUUACCUACCCAAAUCCUAUAAAACAGCCCCACCCCAUCUCCCUUCGCUGACUCUCUUUUCGGACUCAGCCCGCCUGCACUCAUGUGAAAUAAACAGAGUUGUUGCUCACACAAAGCCUGUUUGGUGGUCUCUUCACAUGGACGCACGUGAAAUUUGGUGCUGUGACUCGGAUCGGGGGACCUCUCUUGGGAGAUCAAUCCCCUGUCCUCCUGCUCUUUGCUCUGUGAAAAAGAUCCACCUAUGACCUCAGAUCCUCAGACCCACCAGUCCAAGGAACAUCUCACCAAUUUUAAAUCGGGUAAGUGGCCUCUUCUUACUCUCUUCUCCAACCUCUCUCACUAUUCCUCAAUCACUUUCUUCUUUCUACUCUUCAAUCUCUCCCUUCUCUUAAUUUCAAUUCCUUUCAUUUUCUGGUAGAGACAAAGGAGACACGUUUUAUCCAUGGACCCAAAACUCCGGCGCCAGUCACGGACAAGGGAAGACAACCUUCCCUUGGUGUUUAAUCAUUGCAGGGACAACUUUCUGAUUAUUCACCCAGGUUUCAGAGGUGUCAGAACACGCAGGGACGCCUACCUUGGUCCUUCACCCUUAGCGGGAAGUCCUGCUUUUCUGGGGAAGGGGCAAGUACCCCAACCCCUUCUCUCCAUGUCUCUACCCCUUCUCCACCUUUCUGGGGGGCAAGAAACCCCCAACCCCUUCUCCUUCACCCUUAGCAGCAAGUCCUGCUUUUCUGGCGGAGGGGCAAGUACCCCAACCUCAUAUCUCCGCACCCCAAUCCCUUAUUUCUGAGCCCCGACCUCUUAUCUCUGUGCCCCAAUCCCUUACUUCCGUGCCACGACCUCUUAUAUCUCUGCACCCUGACCUCUUAUAUCUCUGCGCCCCAAUCCCUUAUUUCCGCACCCCAACCUCUUAUAUCUCUGCACCCCAAUCCCUUAUUUCCACACCCCAACCUCAUAUCUCUGUGUCCCAACCCCUUUCCCGCUUUUCUGGAGGGUAAGAACCCCCGAACCCCUCCCUCCGUGUCUCUACUCUCUCUUUUCUCUGGGCUUGUCUCCUUCACUAUGGGCAACCUUCCACCCUCCAUUCCUGCUUCUUCUCCCUUAGCCUGUGUUCUUAAGAACUUAAAACCUCUUCAACUCUCACCUGACCUAAAAUCUAAGCAUCUUAUUUCCUUCUGCAAUGCCACUUGACCCCAAUACAAACUCGACAGUAGUUCCAAAUAGCCAGAAAAUGGCAUUUUCAAUUUUUCCAUCCUACAAGAUCUAAAUAAUUCUUGUCAUAAAAUGGGCAAACGGUCUGAGGUGCCUGACUUCCAGGCAUUCUUUUACACAUUGGUCCCUUCCUAGUCUCUAUGACCAAUGCAACUCAUCCCAAAUCUUCCUUCUUUCCCUCCUGCCUGUCCCCUCAGUCCCAACCCCAAGCGUUGCUGAGUCUUUCUAAUCUUCCUUUUCUACAGACCCAUCUGACCUCUCCCCUCCUCACCAGGCUGAGCUAGGUCCCAAUUCUUCCUCAGCCUCCGCUCCUCCACCCUGUAAUCCUUUUAUCACCUCCCCUCCUCACACCUGGUCCGGCUUACAGUUUCAUUCCCUGACUAGCCCUCCCCAACCCGCCCAGCAAUUUACUCUUAAAAAGGUGGCUGGAGCUAAAGGCAUAGUCAAGGUUAAUGCUCCUUUUUCUUUAUCCCAAAUCAGAUAGCGUUUAGGCUCUUUUUCAUCAAAUAUAAAAAACCAAGCCCCAGUUCAUGGCUUAUUCGGCAGCAACCCUGAGACGCUUUACAGCCCUAGACCCUAAAAGGUCAAAAGGCCGUCUUAUUCCCAAUAUACAUUUUAUUGCCCAAUCUGCUCCCGACAUUAAAUAAAACUCCAAAAAUUAAAUUUUGACAUUCAAACCCCACAACAGCAUUUAAUUAACCUCACCUUCAAGGUGUAUAAUAAUAGAAAAAAGUUGCAAUUCUUUGCCUCCACUGUGAGACAAACCCCAGCCAUAUCUCCAGCACACAAGAACUUCCAAAUGCCUGAACCGGAGCAGCCAGGCAUUCCUCCAGAACCUCCUCCCCCAGGAGCUUGCCACAACUACCAGAAAUCUGACCACCAGGCCAAGGAAUGUCUGCAGCCCAGGAUUCCUCCUAAGCCGUGUCCCAUCUGUGCGGGACCCCAUUGGAAAUCCGACUGUUCAACUCACCUGGCAGCCACUACCAGAGCCCCUGGAACUCUGGCCCAAGGCUCUCUGACUGACUCCUUCUCGGCUUAGCAGCUGAAGACUGACGCUGCCUGAUCGCCUCAAAGCCCCGUAGACCAUCACGGAUGCCGAGCUUUAGGUAACUCUCACAGUGGAGGUAUCUGAAGACACAGUGGUUGCCCUCGAGGAGGACACAACAACAAGGCACCACCUUGGAAGCAGAGACUGGGCCCUCACUAAACCCAUCAGUGCCUGCAAGAAAUAAAGUUCUGUUUUUGAUAGACUACCCAGGCUCAGGGCCUCACUCCCAGUUGCUCAGGCUGGAGUGCAAUGGCACGAUCUUGGCUCACUGCAGCCUCGACUUCCCAAGCUCAGGUAAUUCUCUCAGCUCACCUUCCUGAGUAGCUGGCACUAGAGGCACGUGCCACCAUGCUUGGCUAAUUUUUUGUGUUUUAGUAGGGGCAGGGUUUUGCUAUGUUGCCCAGGCUGGUCUCAAACUCUUGGUCUAAAGCGAUCUCCCCUCCUUAGCUUCUCAGUGUUAGGAUUACAAGUGUGAGCCACCCCACCCAGCCUGCAUAAUUUCCUUUUUAUGAUUCACCCAUGUUGUUGCAGGUAUCCAUAGUAUGUACGUUUUGUUGUUGUAUAGUAUUACAUUGAAAAAAUAUAUAACAGUUUAUUUGUCCAACAGAUUGUUUGUCCAGUAAAUGUUUGUUGACAUUUAGUUGUUUCUAGUUUUGGGCUACUAUAAAUAAAGCUGUUAGGGAUCUUCCUGUGUAAGAUUUUUGUGAACAUAUAUUUUUAUUUUAGUUAUGUAAAUAUACAAGACUGUUUGCUGGGUAAUACGGUAGAUAUAUUUUUAACUUAAUAGAAAACUGUCAAGCAACUUUCAAAAAUGUUUAUGUCAUUUUAUCUUCCCAUCAGAAAUGCAUGACAUUUUCAGUUGUUUUAUAAAGUUGGCAAUAUUCAGUAUUGUGAAUGUUUUUCUUUUUCCUCUUUGAGUAUAUGUGAAUUGGCAUCAAAAUGUGUUGGAAUUUAAACCUUUAUCAUGUAAUUGUGUUAAACACAUUUUGAUGGGUGUAUUAACCAUUAGUAUAUCUUUCUGACCAAUUGUAUAUUUAUAUAUUAUAUAUACACAUACAUAUAUAUAGAUAUAUAGAUAAAUAGAUAUAGGUAUAGGUAGAUUGUAUGUGUGUGUGUUUAUAUAGAUAUAGUGUGUAUAUCAUUGGCAGAAAUCUUUACAUGUUAUGGAUAGGAAUCCUUUGUGACAUAAAUGUAUUGAGGAUAUUUUAUCUUAUGGUUGGAUUUACCUGUUCUAUUUUAAACAUCCUCUGGUAAUCAGAAAUUAUUUUUCUUAAGUAAAAUAUAUCAUUUUCCUCUUAUGUGUUAUCAUUUUGUUACUUGUACAAAACAUAUAUUUGCUUAUUCCAAGAUCAAAAAGCUCUACUCCUGUAUUAGCAGGGGUUCUCCAGAGAGACGAAACAAAUAGGAUAUAUAAAGAUAUAUGAGAAGAUUUACUAUCGGAAUUGGCUCACAUGACUGUGGAAUCCAAGACAUGCUGUUUGCAAGCCGAAGAACCAGGAAAGUCAGUAGUGCAACUCAGUUUUCAUUGGAAGGCCUGAAAACCAGGGGAACCUAUGGUAUAACUGCCAGUUUGAGACUGCAAACAUUAGAAGCUUUCAUGUCUGAGGGCAGAAGAUGAAUAAUCUGGCUCCAGAAGAUAAAGAUAAUUCAACUUUCUCAGCUUUUUUGUCCUAUCCAAGCCCUCAAGGAUUUGCAUGAUGUCUGCCCGUAUUGUUGAGGGACAAUUUUAUUUUCUCAGUCCACUAAUUCUAAGGCUAAUCUCUUCCAGAAACACUCUCACAGACAUACCCAGAAAUAAUAUUUUUACUAGCUACUUGGGUAUCCCUUAACAAAGGCAAGUUGUCACAUAAAAGUAAUAAUCACAAGUCUUAGAUUUUCUUUAGAAUGUGUGAUGGUUAAUAUUGAGUGUCAACUUGAUUGGAUUGAAGGAUGCAAGGUAUUGAUUCUGGGUGUGUCUGUGAGGGUGUUUCAGAGGAGGUGAACAUUUGAGUCUGUGGACUAGGAGAGGCAGACCCACCCUUAACCUGGGUUGGCACAAUCACCUUGGCUUCCAGCACAGCUAGAAAAAAAGCAGGGAGAAGAAGGUGGAACGAGCAGAAUUUCUGAGUCCUCUGGCCUCCACCUUUCUCCCGUGCUGGAUGCUUCCUGCCCUGGAACAUCAGAUUCCAAGUUCUUCAGCUUUUGAACUCUUGGACUUACACUUGUGGUUUGCCAGGGACUCAGACCAUUGGCCACAGAUUGAAAGCUGCACUGCCGGCUUCCCUACUUUUGAGGCUUUGGGACUUAGAAUGAUCCACUACUGGCUUCCUUGCUCUUCAACUUUCAGAUGGCCUAUUAUAGGACAUUACCUUGUUAUUGUGUGAGUCAAUUCUCCUUAAUAAACUCCCUCUCAUAUAUACAUAUAUCCUGUUAGUUCUGUCCCUCUAGAUAACUCUGACUAAUAUAGACGGUUUGUCAUUCUAGUUGGUUUGGGUUCAUUUUAAAUUUGGUAAUUAUAUAUGUGUGUGCAAACUUAGACAAUAUAUAUUUUAUAUUGAAAUAUUUGGACAUUUAAGUCUAUAAAAAUUUUGGCCAUUUUCUCUACAAAUAUUUCUUCAAGCCCAUUACCAUUUACUGUCUGUGAACCUAAUUACAUAUGUAUUAAACAUUUUAUAUUAUCCCAUACAUCUCAGACCCUCUCUUUAUUUUAUUAUUAUUUUUGUGCCGCAACUUGGUUAAUUUUUAGUGACCUGUUUUCAAGUUCACCAUCCUUUUUUCUUUGCUGUUGAGGUAGAGUAAUUUAACCUAUACUAGAGGUAGUUCUGUGUUUUUUUUUCCUAUUUUUAUUCACUUAAUCACUGGCUUCAAAUUUUUUUUAACAGAAUAAGACUGUUUUUAAGGCAAGAGUUGGGGUCUGAGUACUGGUGAUACUCCCAAGACCCUCUCUCCGCUUUAUAACCCAGCUACCAUCUUUUGGGGAUGAUCAGGAUCACAUGAAUGUAGCCUCAGAAAAUCUUUACUGUAUACUCAAGACAAUGAGUGAAAAGGCAAAUUAUACCUUCAUAUUAUGAUCAAAAUAAUUUCAACCAGACACAUAACCCUGAGAUAGUUUGGUGAUCCCCAAUGUAUGCCUGGACCACAUGUUUAGAACCAUUAAUCUGAAGUUUACAGUGUAAAACACUUAAAUAAAAUUAGUUAAGUACCUAAGAGUUUUUAGACAAUUCUCCCAUGAAGGCUUUUCAAAUGUUUGAUACUGCUAUGGUUUUCUCUUUUGGUUUUGAAAAUUUCUCCCAAAGACUGGCACUGUGAAAAUUCUCCAACCUCUUUUCAAAGUCAAUUUUAGUCAUAUAAUAUGAUGUCUCUAAACUAAUUACUUUUUUUUCAAUUAGUUAAUAGUUAUACGUGGAGGGCAAAAUGAGGCACUGUAUCAAUUUUAUACAAUAAAUAAAUAAUUUACAUUUUAUUUUUGAAUAAAGCUGUGUUUAAUUUCUGUUUCUUUCCAUCAUGGUGCUUGAUGGGUUCCCAAUAUUUAUUGAAUUAAUUUUAUUGAAACACCUAUUAAUUAAAUACAUGCUUACUUAGUGUGAGAGGCAGCUUCUGACAUGGCUCCCAGUAACCCUACCUCUCAGUAUUUAUGACGUUAUUCGUUUCCCUUGAGUGUGGGCUAGACCUGGUGAAUUGCUUCUGACUAAUAGAAUUCAAUAAAAACAAGAUAUUUCAUUAUAGGCUUACAAAACACUGUUUACAGACGGUCUACAAGACUUCUGUCUUGCUAGAUUUCUCUCUUUCUGUUGUUGUCUCACGCCUUCUUGCUUGCUCAAUCUGAUGAAACAG